ensembl:lncRNA
UCAGGGCUGGAAGGCCCCGCGCCGGGACGGGCAGGUGUGCGAUUUGGAACUGGAAGGAAUCGCUCUGUCCGAGUCCGGCCGGGUACCCGGAGGGGAAGGACGGACUACGGUUCCCGUCGCCCCGCGCGCCGGACGACCCCGGGCGAGUCCUUCGCGGCAGCGGCCGCUCCUUCGUGCCGGACCGUCCUCCUUCCAGGCAGCCGCCCGCGCCUGCUGCGGUCGGUCGGUCUCUCUGCCAGGCCCUCCCCGCGGCCCGCAGCCCUGGCUGGGGCGCCGCCGGUGACCCCAAUCACGGGCGGUAGCAGGCCGCUCCCAAACCCCAAGUCUUUACCUCUUGAGAGGUGGAAACAAUAAAUCUCCUCCCCCGGCCGCAAUUCCUGGGUAAAUUCGGGCCCCGAUCCUCGGCUCGGACCGAAGCUCUUCGCCUUGGCCCCCGCCGGCAGAACCCCGCUCUUAGCGAUCCCAGCUCGCUGCCCUGGCAGCCUGGCUCAGAAACGUGCCGCGGCUUCCCAGCGUCUGGUUAUAAAGCCCAAACUCUUAGCAUACGGUACAAGCACUGUAUGUGCUACCUAGACGCCCAGACUUGACCAGUUUCUUCCAAAAUGUUGAGUAUGGACACCGCACCUGGAAACAACCCUUCCCAGAGAGCGGUCUGGUUCCUCCGCAAAUACCGCACCCCUGCCCUUUCCUGCACCGUCUGUGGCUGCCGCUUGCUGUGGAGUAAGGGACCGGGGAUCCAGACCGGACAGCCAGAUUUCCUGUCGUUGACCCCUAAGGCGGCCCAGUACCCGAUGGACCCAUUUGCCCCGGAGCGGAAAACAAGACCGGGGUUUCCAGGGAAAGCAGAACACGCCAUCUCAUUGCUUCAACUUCGCGUCUACGGUCCUGCAUUUUCUGUCUCGGCCCCUGCAGCCUUCGCCGGAUCAGUGUCCACGGUUGCUGGCCAACAGCUGCGGGGGGCCGAGCGGCAUCCCUGGACUCUGCCCCCUGGCUGCCCGUAGCAGUGGUGACGAUCCACGGGGUCUGCAGACACGGCCAAUUGUCCGCCGGGGUGGAAUCACCCGAGGUUGGGAACCGUAGUCGUAAGUGGUUUUUAUCUUGCCAGUGUGUUUGCUUGCUUGUUUUGCCCAUCAUUAAACAGAGCGGCCUGAACCUCCCCGCAGCCCUUUCUGCCUCCACCCAAGGACCCCCGGAGGGCACAUUCCUAGCUGCUGAAUUGCUAUUUCAGGGAAGCAGCAUCCACUGAGAGCUCUGAUACGGUUUUUGCCAAAUUUCUCUUCUUUCUUUUUUAAUAUUUAUUUUUUUUUGAGGGACAGAGAGAGACAGCACAAGCAGGGGAGGGGCAGAGAAAGAGAGGGAGACACAGAAUCUGAAGCAGCUCCAGGCUCCGAGCUGUCAGCACAGAGCCUGACCUGGGGCUCGAACCCACGAACCGUGAGAUCACGACCUGAGCUGAAGUAGGAAGCCCGACCAACUGAGCCACCCAGGCGCCCCUGUUUUUGCCAAGUCUCUAGCCAAGUGUCAUUUUUAGAAAGUUAAAAGCACAGCUCGACACAAAUAUAUAGGUAGCCUACAUUCAAGAUUUCUUUGUCUCAUUUAGUGAGACAGCUGGCGGGCCAGAGGGCUGGCUCACGAGGAAGAGGGGACACAGUGCCCGAAAGGGAGCUCCGCAGUCACACUCCAAGCUGCGCGCGGCAUCCUUUGUGAGGCUCCACAGCAUUGAUCACUUUCACUGAGGUCAGUUCUCCGCGUGUCAACGUGGACCCGCACACGGUUGAGAAAUAACGCUUGUCAGUGGAAACUAGUAAGUCACGGGUGAGAUACAUCUUAGGUGGUCGUUGCGCUCACCCACGUGUGUCCUUGAAAAGACACAGCCACUCUCCUGCCCACUCCUGAGUUUUGAUGUUUUCUCUCUUAACAUCGUGGUCCUGACAUUGUGCACAAAGCCCUUCAGUUGCUCGGGCUCCGGGCCCCGAAACCACCGCCCACACGGGAUGAGCUUCCCUCCUCUUACCGCCCAUCGGUCCGGGAUGCGUGUCCUCACUUCCCUUCCUGUCACUGCGGGGACGGCCAGUACGGCUCCACACACGUACUGACCUUCUCGGCUCUCGCUUAUUUUGCCUUCCCAUCCUUUGCUGCUUUUCCUUUUAGAGAGUUCUGCUUUUCCUCAUUCAUUUGCCC